UUCCCUUAUCAGAUAGGGGUCUGCCAGAGCCAAGUCAGUCUGGUUUCAGGGUGACUUCAGCUCAUGAUCAGAUGACGCUCUAACGCUUACGAAACUGAACCAGAGCGCUCUCUCUUUCCUCAUGGGCAGAUUUUAUCACUGACUCAGCUGACAUUGAGUUCAUCAAUCUCUUCAAGGAAAUGGGGCAUCUAAUCCACUUUAUGCGAGUGAGGCAUCUGCUGACUCAUGAUAAUGGCUUUCCAUGACCGACUACCAGUCUUCCAGUUCAGCAAUGGUGUUCCUGCAAGUUGAAAGAUGCUGAAAAAUGAUCCUGAUACACAGUCAAUGGGGGCCAACAUAAGAGCAAUAGACUGCAAGGCAUAGAGCGGAUAGAUCGCUUCAUGGAGGUAUGGGAUACCGCAGUGCAACUUCUGGCAUAGCUGCACACAUGCUGUGUGGCUUUGGAUCUCCUUCUAGUUCAGAAGACAGUUGGGUCCUCUCUGCAACAUAUUUUGCUGGUGACUCGAUGGUUCCAGAGACUAACAUGGAAAUAUAAAGUCAUAGUGAACCUUGUGACCAUUUUAAAUCUAAUCCAGAGACCUCUGCAAGGAUGAAAACAUGAUUUAAAGGAAAAGUCUCAAAAGGAGAAAAGUCAUGAACUCGGGGGCCUGGCUGCUGAAUAUGUCCUCUUCCCCAGGCGAUGCUGUGGGACCUGGCUCCUUGAGGAUGGACAGACGGACGGACAGCAAGGCUGAUGCCUGAGAGCAUGCGGUGAGGUUGGCUGAUGGCAGAAGAAGCACUCCCGACUUUCCUGACUGCCAACAGAGCAGCGCGAAGCAGAUGUUAAGGCCCAGCCUGUUGAUCCUGCGUUCUGCAGCGCAUCCGUGGCAUCCCAGCUUAGAGAGACACCCACCGAUGCCAGGUCCUUCCAGGUAGCAUCUGUGACAGCGUGACAUGGGAGCGUGACACUUGUCGUCUCAGCCAAGGACUGAACCAAGGCCCUUUUCAGCUAAAAGCCUGAGGCUCUGCAGCUUGAGGAAAAGGACUGAUUGUCACAGCCGCAAAAUACAGCAGAGGCUUGCUCCCCAGCGGCCCAGACACACGAGCCGUGGCACGCGACGGCGGGAGCGGUGUCCCCCUGCCACCGGGGUCCGAGCCAGCGGCACAGCCACACCAGCAAUGAGUCUGGCUCCGUAUCCCUUGUGUUGUAAAAGGUCUGUGCAGCUUGGCUGUCUGUCAAAGCUCCCAGCUCAGCCAUUUGCCGUUACUGACUUUCUACUACUUUGGUGGGGUGUUUUUGCAGUUUAGUUUUGUGGAGUUUUGCUUCAGUUACUGUUGGUUUCCACGCUGCGGGUGACUGAAGUCAAUUGAAAGCCUCCCUAGUGGCUGAAUGGACUCCAACUCGGGCGUCUAGAAAGACAAGAGCUGCUAAGAUGGGACCUUUCCCAUUUCUGUUACUUCCAAUGAGAAAAUAGAAACUGGAUUUCCUUUGUAAGUUGAACAAAGCUCCUUUGGCUGUUUACAGUGGAUUUUUUUAGAGCAUUAUUUGAGGUUAUCUAAUUUUUGGCAAGGAUUUUAUAGCCUUUGUUUAUGAGGAGAAGGAGGCAGCUCACUGGUGCAGAUGCUGGUUUCUGUUGUGGUCGCAUUUUCUUCCAGGCGUUUUAUCAGCGCAGCCUUCCAGUGGUGAAGUCCUUUUGCGGAUUAGUGACUUGCUUUAGAAGAACCUGUCACUCUUCAACACUGACUAUGGCUUUUGCUUAAAUGAUUGUUUCAAUUCAUAUGCUAUCUCAAGCAAAAGGCUUUGUCUGAAUCCAUCAUGAAGUCACCAGCUAAGACCGCCAGAGGAUUUGGCUGGACCUGAACUUUUCAGUAGUGGAAAUAGCUCCUGAGCGCUGAAUCGCAGACUGACAGGAGCAGAGCACUUUCACCAUCUUCUCCCCUCUGCUGGCAAACAUUUUUUCUCCUACCGAUCACCAUCAGGGUAGCAAAACUUUAUCUGCAUGACUAACACCAUGAUGACUUAAGCGACUUGACUGUAUAGAUAUAUUUAAUGCCAGCCCAUUGGGAUACAAUUUCCUAAACUUUAAAGCAAGUUGUGAGUAUGCAGUACUCUACCAAGCAGAGUUACAACUUGCUCUUCUCUUUCCGGGCAGGUCUCCUCUUUCCCAUGUACCGUGUUAUAUUAUGGUUAUAUUGUGGUUCCAGAAUCAUGUAAUGCUUCUUAAUAUUUUUUGUCACUUCUGUGGUAGAUGACUUUUAGAGCAAACCCGUUUGAAGAAGGUCCUGACUGAUCUUCCACUGAUUUCAGUAAGAGUUUGACUAUUCACAGUUUCUCAGAUUUAGGCUCCUAUUCGUGAUAUAAAGUAUAGUUAUAUGGGAACAGAGAUAUGAACCUGCAUAUCACAUUCUCAGCUGAGAUAACAUAGCACAGCUCCUUUAAUUUGUACCAGCUGCUCAUAUACUGCAUGUUUUCAGAUCUAGAGCUUGCUGAGUUAUUCACCUGGUAGGAGGGCCUUUUGUAAUUUAACUGAGAGCAGAAAAUGGUACCCACAAAGAAUGUAUUUUUGAUUGUAACUAACCUCAUUAAUCUAAAGACUAGUUUGAGCAAAUAAAGUUCUCUUUUCCAUAUAUGUCCAAAUCUAUCCUAAAUUUAUAGGUUUAAGGCUCUAAAAGUCUUUGAUUUGGAAUCAUCUCUAAAUAAUCCACAAGCAGGAUAUCUGAACUACUUGGGAAUGUGUGUAGGUGAGUAACUGCCCUUUAUGCACAAAAAUUAACAUUUGACUAUAGGACUAAUAAAAGAUACCGUCUUCCUGGGGAAUUUUAUUUUGACUCAAAUAUCUAGAAGUUAGGAAGUUUAUCUCAGCUGUCCAAAAUUAUUGAAAUAUAUUCAAUAGAUACUUCAAAAAGCAGACUUUGGCUUGGAUACUUGAAUCAUGUUGGUGCUCUUAGAAAAGGACUGGCACUUGAAUGAAGCGUACUAUACCAUAAAUAAUGUAGGGACGAUCUUUUUCAGUCUGAUUUGCAUGCCACUGCAAGACCCUCAUGUGGAGAUCUGCAUGAGAAGGAAAAAUAAUGGUGGGUGGGAGAGAAGACAGCAACCACCUGAACUAUAUUUACAUUCUUUGGAAAAAGGGGGUGAGAGAUCAGAUUUAUCUACUCAUGCUAUCCUUGCCGCUGAACAAAACAUAAAACAGUAUUAGCUUGCAUUUUUAUACCUCUUCCAAUUAAAAGUAAACACAAUUAUGGCAAUCUUCUGCCUGAUUACAAAAGGUAUUUCAGGUUGUGGCUGGAUAUAGGGUCUUCACCUGCUAUCCAGCAAACAAGGAGUUAAUCACAGUUGAAGCUUCCCUGACAGAGGUGAUUAGGACAAGAGCUGUAAAUCAGUUGCCUGAGAUGCAAAGGGAUGUUGAUUAUUAGGGGAGAGGGGAGGCUUUGGUUGUUGUCUUAGGUGUGAGUGUGAAGACCUGGAUAGUUGCAGCAAUCGUUCUGGUUUUAACUCUUCCUUCCUGCAAAGAUUCUCUGCUCGUGUAGCUUGCUUCGAACGAAGACGUAACCCGCUGCUUCCCUCUGUGGUGUUAGUCUUUGCCAGUUAUUUUUACAUUCUGUCCCAGGAUAUGUAAAGAAAGCCCCUGUUUCUAUUGAUGUGCUAAGCUUGUUUUAAAUUUUCUUCUAACUUGUUUACUACAAAAGAAGACGACUUGGUCAUGUGAAAAAAGAUAUGCAGAGCUUUCCUUUUUAUUAAAUGGCUUAUCAACUGCCCCUUGAUGAAUUUAAAUAAUUGAAGGAGAACUAGCUAUAUGUUAUCCCUCAAAAGACGGGACGGUGUUGUGUUUAAGUCGCAGCAUCCAAAAUGAUAGGGUUCAGUUUCCAGUCGCUAAUGAAUCUUUUCAGCUGUUCGUGCCUCAGUUUCUUACCAAUUGCAUAGAAAUAAGGUGCCUUUUGUUUCCUCUUAUUUAAACUGUAAUCUUUUGGAGUCAUAGCUCUGUCCAAUACAUACUACCUUAGCUUGCUCAAGUCCUCUAAAAGUGCCUCGCUAAGACAUGAUGCUUCUCUUCAGUUUCCAUGUUUUUGAUACCUGCUAAUAUCACUAGAGAUACCUGCUCUACAUCCUUUUUUGUCUCCCUGGUUUGGUAGGAUGAAGCUCUUUAUUCCUGUAGAGGGCCUGGCAGCUCCAGCGGUGCAUGAGGACCCUUGUGCACGCCAAGAAGUGAAGAAGGGCCCUUACGCUAAGGAGAGCAACUCAACUAAGAGGCCAGACAGAACGGGUGGAUGCCAAGAACUGAAGACAACAGAAAGAAACAGUGGCCGUGCCUCUGCAGUUUGGCAAAAGCAGUCUCCAAAAGAGCUGCAAGAAAGGCACCCACUGUCCUUCAUGCACACAGUCAUCGCCAGACUAUCUGAGGGGACCGCUAGCCAUGGUCAUCCACUAGCCAUGCUCGUGGACACUGGGCCAAGCGGGCCCCGAAGGGCACCUGCUUGUCAUCUGAGUCAGUGUGCUUAAAGCGAUUGCCAUGCAUACACAUCAGUGCCUCACAGACAUAUGCUAGCAUUUGUGAUACUGUCAAAAUACGCUUUCAAGCCCAUUUCAGCAGCAAGCCUGCUUAGACUCCAUGCCAGGAAAUGUUAAUUACUGUGGUGCAAUCUUCUGUUUUCUGUGGUGCAAUAACAAUUAAUUUACACCAUUUGGAAAACACUUACACAUUUUUAUUAAAAAAUCAAUAAAAGCAAGUCAAUACAGU